CGCCCCCCACGCGCCAGCCCAGCCUCGGCCCGCCCGUCUCGUCCCGCCGCGGCAGGCCUGGCUCCCCGCGCCGCCCGUGCUCGUCGCCGCGGGCCGGGUACUCCGCGUCGCCCCUGCUCCUCUGCGCCGCCGCCGCGUGCUGGGCCGGCAGCGCCGUCCCUGCUCCUCCGCCCCUGUUUCUCCACGCCGCCGGCAGCGCCCUUACUUUUUCUUGCCUCGUGUGCUCGUCGAGAUGCGGCACUCCGCCGCCGCCCCCGACCUUCGGCACCCUCGCCGACGGCCUCCAGCUCGAGCACUUGCGCCGCUGCUCCCGUGCUACAGCACCCCUACGGUACCCUCAAGCUCGAGCACUGCAUCACCGUCUCUGAGCUUGAGCACCGCGCCGCCCAUCCUGAGCUCGAGCUCUGCUAGGAGCGUGUGUGCGGCGCCUGCCUCGCAGCGCGUCCAUGAGGCUCGCGACGCCGACGACGGCGUCGACCGGGUGCGCAGGGACCCAAGGAUCCCGUCGUCCUCUUCCAGCCCCACUACUCGAGCUCGAGAGGCACCAAUCCCCUCCGAAUCGUGCCCACGCUACCCCUGGCUGGCCUCGAGAAGCAGCAGCGCGAGCAGCAAUGGCGUAGGAGAUCGAGCACACCCACCUCCCAAUCCACGGGAUCAACAUCCACGUUGCACAGGCGGGGGCGGAGGGGCCGGCAGUGGAGGGGCAGGCGGCGGCGGAGGGGUUAGAGCCGCACGCGCCCGCGCCGCUGGCCGGAGCAGCACACCCACGCGACGGAUCUUGGGCUGCGAUGGCGAGCAGAGGAGCGCGGCGGCGAGCAGGGAAGACGGAAGAGAGAGAGGUGUGCAAGAAUUAAAAAAAUUAAGAGAAAGGGAAAAAGAUAAGACAAUGACAUGUGGGCUCUAUAUAUGAUUGAGAAGUAGGGGCUAAGAAGUAGGAGAUUACUGUUGGAGUCUCUAGUUGAUAAAUUAAGGGGCUUAAAUAAGGACUAUUGCUGGAGUUGCUUAAGAGCACAACUUCAUGUCGGCCUACGAGAUUCCAUUCAUUGUGAUACAUACUGUGAUACAUAUGGUGCACCAACACCACCGACAUACUGUAUGCUACCGAUAGGAUUACUCCAAGGGAAACUCCAGAUGAACCACCAACGCGUGAUAAAAAACAUGUAAUGUGUUUGCAUCA